UGGGGAAUAUUGGACAAUGGGGGCAACCCUGAUCCAGCCAUGCCGCGUGAGUGAAGAAGGCCUUCGGGUUGUAAAGCUCUUUCAGCGGGGACGAUGAUGACGGUACCCGCAGAAGAAGCCCCGGCUAACUCCGUGCCAGCAGCCGCGGUAAUACGGAGGGGGCUAGCGUUGUUCGGAAUUACUGGGCGUAAAGCGCGCGUAGGCGGUGUGCAUAGUCAGAGGUGAAAGCCCGGGGCUCAACCCCGGAACUGCCUUUGAUACUGGCAUGCUAGAAUCCGUGAGAGGGUAGUGGAAUUCCUAGUGUAGAGGUGAAAUUCGUAGAUAUUAGGAAGAACACCAGUGGCGAAGGCGACUACCUGGCACGGUAUUGACGCUGAGGUGCGAAAGCGUGGGGAGCGAACAGGAUUAGAUACCCCCGUAGUCC
rnacentral:rRNA from 1 species